UGCGCUCUUCUUCUUCCUUACGAUUUCCCGAUCCUCUUCCCCGAUCUCUCCUCUCUGCCUUCUCGGUUCUCUCUCGCGGACGGGCGACGGCGACGGGAGCAAGGCUCCAGCUCCGGCGAUCUUUCCUUGCCGGCAUCAUCUCCGAUUGAGCUUAGGCCGGCUGGCGUUUUCCUUUCCGGGUCGCAGCAUAGCAUCGUGUCUUCUCACGCCUGCCUGCCGAGCCCUAGUUCUUGUUCGGCGCUGUUGGAUUGAGCUCAGGUCUUCCCCGAGCCUUUCCUUCCCCGAUCCUUCGUCUCUGUUUUACCGAUCCUUUCUUCCCCGAUUCGAUCGCCGGCUUGAAGAUGCCCUAGGGUUUCGAAGGUCACGGAUUUGGAGAGGUUGGAAUCAGGGAGGUGUUGUUGGAUUAGGGGAAGGAAUCGGAUCAGACUCGUGCUAGGUUUUCCCUUGAUCGGAUCAGUGGACCUCCACCUCCUUGCUGUUGAUUGAGGUCUCAAAUUGAAGGUUAGGUACUGUGGGGUUUUGGUUGGUGGUCAGUAAUUGCAUCCGGGCAGAAAGGUAGAUUCUAGCAGCUCAUCCGGCAGGACCUCUUUCCGGCAGCCCUCUUGUUGACUGAGCUUGAGGAUUUUGAUUCGAGACAGACGUCUUGACGUUGACUUCGGAUUUGAGAUUGUACCUUCUAUUUGAGG